CGAACGCUGGCGGCGUGCUAAUACAUGCAAGUCGGGCGGACCGACGGGAGCUUGCUCCCUUAGGUCAGCGGCGGACGGGUGAGUAACACGUGGGUAACCUGCCUGUAAGACUGGGAUAACUCCGGGAAACCGGGGCUAAUACCGGAUGCUUGAUUGAACCGCAUGGUUCCAAUCAUAAAAGGUGGCUUUCAGCUACCACUUACUGAUGGACCCGCGGCGCAUUAGCUAGUUGGUGAGGUAACGGCUCACCAAGGCGACGAUGCGUAGCCGACCUGAGAGGGUGAUCGGCCACACUGGGACUGAGACACGGCCCAGACUCCUACGGGAGGCAGCAGUAGGGAAUCUUCCGCAAUGGACGAAAGUCUGACGGAGCAACGCCGCGUGAGUGAUGAAGGUUUUCGGAUCGUAAAACUCUGUUGUUAGGGAAGAACAAGUACCGUUCGAAUAGGGCGGCACCUUGACGGUACCUAACCAGAAAGCCACGGCUAACUACGUGCCAGCAGCCGCGGUAAUACGUAGGUGGCAAGCGUUGUCCGGAAUUAUUGGGCGUAAAGCGCGCGCAGGCGGUUUCUUAAGUCUGAUGUGAAAGCCCCCGGCUCAACCGGGGAGGGUCAUUGGAAACUGGGGAACUUGAGUGCAGAAGAGGAGAGUGGAAUUCCACGUGUAGCGGUGAAAUGCGUAGAGAUGUGGAGGAACACCAGUGGCGAAGGCGACUCUCUGGUCUGUAACUGAACGCUGAGGCGCGAAAGCGUGGGGAGCG
rnacentral:rRNA from 1 species